rnacentral:rRNA from 1 species
GACGAACGCUGGCGGCGUGCUUAACACAUGCAAGUCGAACGGUAAGGCUCCAGCUUGCUGGGGUACACGAGUGGCGAACGGGUGAGUAACACGUGGGUGACCUGCCCUGCACUUCGGGAUAAGCCUGGGAAACUGGGUCUAAUACCGGAUAGGACCGCACCGUGAGGGUGUGGUGGAAAGUUUUUUCGGUGUGGGAUGGGCCCGCGGCCUAUCAGCUUGUUGGUGGGGUAAUGGCCUACCAAGGCGGCGACGGGUAGCCGGCCUGAGAGGGUGGACGGCCACAUUGGGACUGAGACACGGCCCAGACUCCUACGGGAGGCAGCAGUGGGGAAUAUUGCACAAUGGGCGGAAGCCUGAUGCAGCGACGCCGCGUGGGGGAUGACGGCCUUCGGGUUGUAAACUCCUUUCACCAUCGACGAAGGGUUUCUGACGGUAGAUGGAGAAGAAGCACCGGCUAACUACGUGCCAGCAGCCGCGGUAAUACGUAGGGUGCGAGCGUUGUCCGGAAUUACUGGGCGUAAAGAGCUCGUAGGUGGUUUGUCGCGUCGUCUGUGAAAUUCCGGGGCUUAACUCCGGGCGUGCAGGCGAUACGGGCAUAACUUGAGUACUGUAGGGGAGACUGGAAUUCCUGGUGUAGCGGUGAAAUGCGCAGAUAUCAGGAGGAACACCGGUGGCGAAGGCGGGUCUCUGGGCAGUAACUGACGCUGAGGAGCGAAAGCAUGGGGAGCGAACAGGAUUAGAUACCCUGGUAGUCCAUGCCGUAAACGGUGGGCGCUAGGUGUGGGUUUCCUUCCACGGGAUCCGUGCCGUAGCUAACGCAUUAAGCGCCCCGCCUGGGGAGUACGGCCGCAAGGCUAAAACUCAAAGGAAUUGACGGGGGCCCGCACAAGCGGCGGAGCAUGUGGAUUAAUUCGAUGCAACGCGAAGAACCUUACCUGGGCUUGACAUAUACAGGAUCGCGCCAGAGAUGGUGUUUCCCUUGUGGCUUGUAUACAGGUGGUGCAUGGUUGUCGUCAGCUCGUGUCGUGAGAUGUUGGGUUAAGUCCCGCAACGAGCGCAACCCUUGUCUUAUGUUGCCAGCACGUUGUGGUGGGGACUCGUAAGAAACUGCCGGGGUUAACUCGGAGGAAGGUGGGGAUGACGUCAAAUCAUCAUGCCCCUUAAGUCCAGGGCUUCACACAUGCUACAAUGGUCGGUACAGUGGGUUGCCAGUCCGUGAGGGCGAGCUAAUCCCGCAAAGCCGGUCUCAGUUCGGAUCGGGGUCUGCAACUCGACCCCGUGAAGUCGGAGUCGCUAGUAAUCGCAGAUCAGCAACGCUGCGGUGAAUACGUUCCCGGGCCU